AAGGCCCGUUUGUUUCUCCAUCCA
rnacentral:siRNA from 1 species